UGUUUUCUUUUUUUCUUCGCGAUGCUUCUUCGUGUGCGAUGGCGAUCGAGAUUCUUUUUGUCUCUUUAACUGAAAUCGGAUCUGAGAAUCGUUCCAUUUCAUUAUUGUCAUUAAUUUUGUUUUCAGUCGGCUAAUCCGUGUAUAAAUAGGUAAUAUGCGCUUGACAUCUGUCCAUUUUUUGGUCUUGGUUCUUUAUGAGAGAGAGACGAUUAUCUUCGCCGAAGGCCAUAUCGAAAUUUAGGGUUAAUUGUCUUCCUCGAUCUCUGGCCAUAUAAAGUAACAAUGGGGUUUCAGGAGAGACAAAACGUCGUGAAUCCCUGUGUCAAGCUUUGAUCGUCUCAGCUUCUAUGGAAACCGGAACGGUUACGGAACUUGGUUGUUUCGAUCAUUCUAAUUAACUUGCCAAUUAACUCCACUCUGUAACUAUUUAUAGGUGAGUUUGUAUCCAUUAAAUUCAUCAUUCUCUUCCCUUUAGAUUUUGAAUCCCCAGAGCCUUUUGAAUUCUCCGGUGGAUGGCGGUGUAGGAGUGAGAGCUGGUUGCAUGCGGAUCAGGUGUUUGUCUCAAUGGAGAGCCAUGUCUUGGUUGUUUACCUCAUAGUGAAGAAGAAAGCUAUGGCGAAAGCCAUGUGAGAGACUGAUUCGGUGAGGGUCAUAAAAUUCUUGGAGGAUGAUCGGCAUGGAGUCGGCCAAUCUACAGAGAUAUCGUAAAAGACCAUCAAUUCCGGUAACUUCGUUACCAUUUGAGUAUAGCUUAUUGAGUUUGACGUGAAUGUUGAUUGAUGAAUCAGAAUGCUAAUUGUGAGUUGAAUUUAGUCUCAUUGCAGGAUCGAUCAUUGUAUAAAAAUUCCAUAUAUUUAUUUGUCUCUCACUUUUGUGUUUAUAACUGCAAAAGGCGGAGAUUUUGUUCAUCGCUAGAUAUGAAGGAUCUUUUAUAUACAUUACAUGUUUAAGGAAAGGGAAGAAAAUUCUGGAGGAGAAAGGGAUCAGUUUGAAGCAUAACGUCAACCUGAGUUUGAGCUUUUUCAGAUUAGCCUAGAACAAGAGGGUAACUAUUCCAAGCUUAUGAAAGUUUCAGAGGAGAGUAAAGAUUUAGAAUAAACUAUGUCUAGCACAUGUGUUCAGGAUCAUUGGAGAAACAACAAGGAGUAUGACCUUAUGAGCUGGAGAGAAGGCUACACAAGCUCAUGGAGACAAGACAAAAGUAUGAGAUAAAAAGCUGCAGAUUGCAUUGGAAGAGGCUAAGACAAGGCUUCAUGUGAACAGAGGCUGAAGCUUCUUGGUGGAAAGUCACCGCAUAUAUAGUUUCUGAACAUAUCGUCUUCUAUAGUGGAAUUGUUAUUGUUAAACAGUUUACAGAAGGUUUCAGAGAUGAUUUAGAAGAAACUAGGUUCAGACAUGUGUAUUCAGGGCCAUUGGAGGAACAACAAGGAAUGUGUCCUCAUGAGCUAGAGAGAAAGCAAUACGAGCUGAGCUCAUGGAGACAAGAAAUAUACUAUUUGGAAAAUAUUAUGUAUGCUUAGAUCAUAUUUAAAAAAACUACAUAUAAAUGAAAGUAUUUUUAAUAUUAAGCUAAACAUAUGCCCUGUAAUAAGAAUAACAAACAUUAGCAGUGAAGUGAAUGUUAUUUUCAAUAUAGAGUAAAACUAAAUA